UUUUUUUUCAUUCCCAUGACUGCAGGAAUAUUGAUCUCAGCGUUACUUUGACCAUUAAUGAAUUAUGAUGGCAAUAAGCAAAGAUUCGCACCUCUAGCCUCCGGGGAGCUUAAUCUUCUGCUACAACAUUUGCAUUUGCAGUGUUUAAGGAGGAUCCAGGAAUACUUUAAGUGACGCCAGCGUUAGUGUUGCCUCCUCAGAAGACUGCUUUCAGGGGAACAGUAUACAUCUGCCCUGUAAAUUCUGGAUGGUAAAUAUGACAAAAACUCUCUCCUUGACCCAGCUCUAGUGAGACUGCUCUAAGCCCUCUUCUCAACAUGGCUCAACCUUGGGCUUCAGUGUACAUUUUGUUGGGCCUGCAUUGCUCAGUUUUAGCAAGAGUCCAGUUAAGUGAAAGAGAAUCUCACAGCUUUGAUAUCAGAUUCUUCCAUAUCUAAACAAAUUCCUCAUCCCCUACCUUCAAUAUCUGAUCACUCUGCCCUGUUUGCACCAAGAAUCUACCCUCACCCUUGAUGUCUCCUCUUAAUAAUUUUCCAUCCACCAAUCUC
rnacentral:lncRNA from 10 species